GCCUACGGGGCGCAGCAGUGGGGAAUAUUGCACAAUGGGGGAAACCCUGAUGCAGCAACGCCGCGUGAAGGAAGACGGUUUUCGGAUUGUAAACUUAUAUCAAUAGGGAAGAAAGAAAUGACGGUACAUAAAUAAGAAGCCCCGGCUAACUACGUGCCAGCAGCCGCGGUAAUACGUAGGGGGCAAGCGUUAUCCGGAUUUACUGGGUGUAAAGGGAGCGUAGACGGCUGUGCAAGUCUGAAGUGAAAGCCCAGGGCUCAACCCUGGGACUGCUUUGG
rnacentral:rRNA from 1 species